GAUGAACGCUAGCUACAGGCUUAACACAUGCAAGUCGAGGGGCAGCAUGGUCUUAGCUUGCUAAGGCCGAUGGCGACCGGCGCACGGGUGAGUAACACGUAUCCAACCUGCCGUCUACUCUUGGUCAGCCUUCUGAACGGACGAUUAAUACAAGAUGGCAUCAUGAGUUCACCUGUUCACAUGAUUAAAGGUAUUCCGGUAGACGAUGGGGAUGCGUUCCAUUAGAUAGUAGGCGGGGUAACGGCCCACCUAGUCUUCGAUGGAGAGGGGUUCUGAGAGGAAGGUCCACUGCAUUGGAACUGAGGCACGGUCCAAACUCCUACGGGAGGCAGCAGUGAGGAAUAUUGGUCAAUGGGCGAGAGCCUGAACCAGCCAAGUAGCGUGAAGGAUGACUGCCCUAUGGGUUGUAAACUUCUUUUAUAAAGGAAUAAAGUCGGGUAUGUAUGCCCGUUUGCAGGUACUUUAUGAAUAAGGAUCGGCUAACUCCGUG
rnacentral:rRNA from 1 species